rnacentral:lncRNA from 1 species
UCCCAGUUUAUCCCAGUGCCCCCAGCCCCAUUCCCAGCCCAAACCAGUAUAAACCAGUAUAAACCAGUAUAAACCAGUAUAAACCAGUAGGUUCCCGUACGGUUCCGGUCCAGCCGCAGCAGCCGCAGGCGGGGGAGGGGCGAGGCCACGCCCACCUCGGUCACGUGGUUCCCGGAGAGAUCCAGCUCCUGCAAACUGGGACGUACUGGGACAGACUGGGACGUACUGGGAUGGACUGGGAGGGACUGGGAGGGACUGGGAUCAAACUGGGAGGGACUGGGAGGGACUGGGAGGGACUGGGAUGGACUGGGACAAACUGGGAUCAAACUGGGAUAUACUGGGAUGGACUGGGACAAACUGGGAGGGACUGGGAUCAAACUGGGAUAUACUGGGAUGGACUGGGAUGGACUGGGACAAACUGGGACGGACUGGGACAAACUGGGAGGGACUGGGAUCAAACUGGGAUGGACUGGGGUGGGACUGGUUUAUACUGGGAGGGACUGGGAUCAAACUGGGAGGGACUGGGAUGGACUGGGACGGACUGGGACAAACUGGGACGGACUGGGAUCAGACUGGGACGGACUGGGAUCAAACUGGGAUAUACUGGGAGGGACUGGGACGGACUGGGAUUGGACUGGUUUAUACUGGGAGGGACUGGGAUCAAACUGGGAUGGACUGGGAGUUACUGGGACAAACUGGGGUGCGUUACUGGUGUAACUGGGUUGGUUACUGGCCUGUACUGGCCUGUACUGGCCUGUACUGGUCUGUACUGGUCUAUACUGGUCUAUACUGGUUUGUACUGGUCCAUACUGGUUUCUCACCCGCAGCCUCCGCAGCGCCCCCAGCGCCGGCAGCGCCCGCAGUUCGUUCCCAGCCAGAUCCAAGCGGCUCAGGGCGCCCAUCCGCUCCACCAACGGCAGCGAGGUCAGGCCCUAAACCAGU